CUGAGUUGCAAAACUCCAAAACCCUAUGUUUAUCUAUCUCGAAAACGUCUGCUUCGGCGGGCGGCCCCAGGGCGGGGUCGCAGCCUAGCGCUUCGGCGCCGGGCGCCCGCCGGAGAGGACAACCCAAAACUCUUGUUUUCAAUGAAACUCUGAGCAUAAAAGACAAAUAGUCA
rnacentral:misc_RNA from 1 species